rnacentral:rRNA from 1 species
CAUUGGNUCAACCAAUGUAUGCUUUGGAAACUGUUAGACUUGAGUGCAGAAGGGGAGAGUGGAAUUCCAUGUGUAGCGGUGAAAUGCGUAGAUAUAUGGAGGAACACCGGUGGCGAAAGCGGCUCUCUGGUCUGUCACUGACGCUGAGGCUCGAAAGCGUGGGUAGCGAACAGGAUUAGAUACCCUGGUAGUCCACGCCGUAAACGCUGAGUGCUAGGUGUUAGGUCCUUUCCGGGACUUAGUGCCGACGCUAACGCAUUAAGCACUCCGCCUGGGGAGUACGACCGCAAGGUUGAAACUCAAAGGAAUUGACGGGGGCCCGCACAAGCGGUGGAGCAUGUGGUUUAAUUCGAAGCAACGCGAAGAACCUUACCAGGUCUUGACAUCCCGAUGCCCGCUCUAGAGAUAGAGUUUUUCUUCGGAACAUCGGAGACAGGUGGUGCAUGGUUGUCGUCAGCUCGUGUCGUGAGAUGUUGGGUUAAGUCCCGCAACGAGCGCAACCCUUAUUGUUAGUUGCCAUCAUUAAGUUGGGCACUCUAGCGAGACUGCCGGUAAUAAACCGGAGGAAGGUGGGGAUGACGUCAAAUCAUCAUGCCCCUUAUGACCUGGGCUACACACGUGCUACAAUGGUUGGUACAACGAGUCGCAAGCCGGUGACGGCAAGCUAAUCUCUGAAGGCCAAUCUCAGUUCGGAUUGUAGGCUGCAACUCGCCUACAUGAAGUCGGAAUCGCUAGUAAUCGCGGAUCAGCACGCCGCGGUGAAUACGUUCCCGGGCCUUGUACACACCGCCCGUCACACCACGAGAGUUUGUAACACCCAAA